AAAGUCGUAACAAGGUCUUCGUAGGUGAACCUGCGGAGGGAUCAUUAGUGAAACACAAGAGCGCUCUUCAUUGAGGCUCGUUUAACUAUCCAUUACACUUAGUGCACUUGAAAUUACAACACUUUGCUUGUCAAAGUCGUUUAACAUUAUAACCCCUUUGAAUUUAUUUGUUUGAUGAUGAUGUAUAAACCUUGAAAAUGAAAGAAACAACUUUCAGCAACGGAUUUCUUGGCUCUC
rnacentral:misc_RNA from 1 species